GUGCUCGCUUCGGCAGCACAUAUACUAAAAUUGGAACGAUACAGAGGAAAUUAGCACGGCCCCUGCACAAGGAUGACACGCAAAUUCGUGAAACAUUCCAUAUUUUU